rnacentral:rRNA from 1 species
CCUACGGGAGGCAGCAGUAGGGAAUUUUCGUCAAUGGGGGAAACCCUGAACGAGCAAUGCCGCGUGAGUGAAGAAGGCCUUCGGGUCGUAAAGCUCUGUUGUAAGAGAAAAACGGUAAUGAUAGGGAAUGAUCAUUAAGUGAUGGUAUCUUACGAGGAAGCCACGGCUAACUACGUGCCAGCAGCCGCGGUAAU